GAUGAGAAUAGUGAAAGUAUUAAUAAAAGAAGUAUUAAGAGGAUGGUGUUGGCAUAGUGGGAGCUGGAAGGGCACGUUCGGGAGGUGGUAAAGAGCUAGGCUUUUGCUGAGUAGGGAUUUGUUUGCUUUGUUCUCGAAGGAUAAGGAAACGAGAAAUCCUAUCGUCUUUGCUUAAAUCGGCCAUGCCUGUACUAUAAUAAUCAAAAUUGUCUUCCGCACGACCGAUUGCGGCUGAUCGAGCCUCACGAUAAAAUUUGCCAUUCCGAUAAUUAGAGUAGAUGUUGAUGAUGACAAGGAUAGACAAUAUGCCUGCAAAAACAAGCAUGCCUUCAUCGUCAAAUUUUCUGUUUUUAUUAGAAGCAUUUUGGUCAUUCAUAUAAUCAUAGGAAUUGUAGUAGUAUUCUUCCCAAGACCCCAUACCAGCAGAACGACGAGAUCUUGAAUAGGUAGGAUACCUCGCUUGAGACCAAUUUUGAGGCGAGGGAUGUGUAGGAUGAGACGGCUGAUUCCAGUGAAUUCCAAAUCUAUCGUAUUCCUCACGACGUCUCUUAUCAGAUAGUAAAGCGUUGGCUGCCAGCAAUAAACGAAAGUACUCUUCGUUGUGCUUAUUAAUUUCUGGCGGAGAUUCCGUAGGCGCUAGCUGAGAUGCAUUCUUCAUUUUGUCAGGAUGAUGCUUCUUAACCAGCUCAAUAUAUUUUCGUUUAAUGUCAUUAGCCGUACACGUACGAGGUAGUUCCAAAAUUUCAUAAGGCGUCAAUGACUUCAAUUCGGAAUAGGAAGUAAAACUGGCUGCUCGCCUCCAUAAGCUAUUUCGCACAAGAUUUAACCGAAAAAAUAUCUUUGACAUGUUCAAAACUUGUUCCAACAGAGGCGACGUUAGUUUCUGGAUACGAUGGAAGCUUUUAUGUAGUUAAUAUUCAACUGAGUAAGAUAUCAAUGUUGCUUCAUUGAAUGCAAACCGGCUGAUCGAGCGCUGCUUUUUUUAAAGUAAAAACCGCAAGAUACUCUGGUUCUAUAUAGUUUUAAAGCUGGAUAUGUAAAAGGAAGCUGGUUUGGUAAAUAUUUCAAGAGUUGGUACCAUAUCCGUCUGCUAUCCCUAUUUCGUGCCCUUGCUAUACUACGUGGGCGAAUCGCAGAGUUGUUGAGCUGCACCAACGAAUGAGAAGGAAACGCAGGAAAAUGUAAAGAUUUAGAGUAAUGGUAUUUAGUAAUAACAAACUUAUUUUUAUUUUAAUAUUCUUUUAAGAAAAUACAAAAUUUAAUCGCAAACGAAUUGAAAUAUUUUGGAAAUUCUUUUUUAUUGCCUUUCAAGGACGCCUUUCCUUCGUUAAAGACGCAUCAUUCUUUUAUCGAUAGAUUUGAAAAAGAAGAUCUUUAGUUUCAAUCGUACAACACAAUUCUUGCUACACGGUGUUUUUUGUUUGUUUGCAUUUCGCGUUUCUUUGACCUACAACGUUGAAUAGCGUCGCAUUGGUGACUUACCUUGGAAAUACGUUAUUUAUUUUCCGUUCGUAAUUCUCAAAAUUACAGGUUUGCCGUGGAUUAAAAGAUAAUUUGGUCCACGCUUGCUCUUUAACUAUCUUGAUUGCCCUAAUUGUUGUUUCU